rnacentral:lncRNA from 1 species
AUUCGGUCAAGAUACUUUUGAGUUGACAGAACCCGGAGAAUAAAUCAAGAAUUAAAACAAACAAUAUAAUAGUAAAAUAAAUUCAUAACUAGGAUGGCCGAAGCUACAUAAGAAAAAAUGUCCAAUCAGGUCGGGCCACUGAUAGACCGGUUUGGGUUAACUAUAUAUAGCGAGAAAUAUUUAAAACUUGGGGCUGAUUAGUCUCAAAUCACAUCCACUUUUAAUACUUUGAUUGAGAUCGGCGACUUGCGUAGAGUAAAAAUGUUUAAUAAAAUUCCACUCAACACACAUAGAUUACAUGCCUGAUUAAUUGUAAGAUCCACAUGAAUGAGUGACUUAAAAGUUAACCAUAAUCUUGGAGUACCCUUCUGUCAAGAAUAAAUCAAAUUAAGACUAAUUUUAGCA